rnacentral:rRNA from 1 species
CAGUCGCCGCGGUAAUACGUAGGGUGCAAGCGUUAAUCGGAAUUACUGGGCGUAAAGCGUGCGCAGGCGGUUAUAUAAGACAGAUGUGAAAUCCCCGGGCUCAACCUGGGAACUGCAUUUGUGACUGUAUAGCUAGAGUACGGCAGAGGGGGAUGGAAUUCCGCGUGUAGCAGUGAAAUGCGUAGAUAUGCGGAGGAACACCGAUGGCGAAGGCAAUACCCUGGGCCUGUACUGACGCUCAUGCACGAAAGCGUGGGGAGCAAACAGGAUUAGAUACCCCAGUAGUCCCUGUCUCUUAUAC